UAAAUAAGAGGUCCAGCCUGCCCAGUGACAUGUUCACGGCCGCGGCACCCUAACCGUGCAAAGGUAGCAUAAUCACUUGUUCUUUAAAUGAGGACUUGUAUCAAUGGCAUCACGAGGGUUGUACUGUCUCCUUUUUCCAAUCAGUGAAACUGAUCUCCCCGUGAAGAAGCUGGGAUUUUAAUAUAAGACGAGAAGACCCCAUGGAGCUUUAAAUUAUGUACUUACUUUAUGUAAAAACACCAAUAAAGCUAAAAAAACUUAAGUACAAUUUUAGGUUGGGGCGACCACGGAGUAUAAUAUAACCUCCACAACAAACAGGCCACACCUUUAUCUACGAGCCACACCUCUAAGAAUUAACAUAUUAAUGUUUAUGACCCGAAUAUUCGAUCAAUGAACCAAGUUACCCUGGGGAUAACAGCGCAAUCUAUUUCAAGAGUCCUUAUCGACAAAUAGGUUUACGACCUCGAUGUUGGAUCAGGGUAUCCAAGUGGUGCAGCCGCUACUAACGGKUCGUUUGUUCAACGACUAAAACCCUACGUGAUCUGAGUUCAGACCGGAG
rnacentral:rRNA from 1 species